AGUGAACGCUGGCGGUAGGCCUAACACAUGCAAGUCGAACGGCAGCACAGUAAGAGCUUGCUCUUACGGGUGGCGAGUGGCGGACGGGUGAGGAAUACAUCGGAAUCUACUUUUUCGUGGGGGAUAACGUAGGGAAACUUACGCUAAUACCGCAUACGACCUACGGGUGAAAGCAGGGGAUCUUCGGACCUUGCGCGAUUGAAUGAGCCGAUGUCGGAUUAGCUAGUUGGCGGGGUAAAGGCCCACCAAGGCGACGAUCCGUAGCUGGUCUGAGAGGAUGAUCAGCCACACUGGAUCUGAGACACGGUCCAGACUCCUACGGGAGGCAGCAGUGGGGAAUAUUGGACAAUGGGCGCAAGCCUGAUCCAGCCAUACCGCGUGGGUGAAGGAGGCCUUCGGGUUGUAAAGCCCUUUUGUUGGGAAAGAAAAGCAGCAGGUUAAUACCCCGCUGUUCUGACGGUACCCAAAGAAUAAGCACCGGCUAACUUCGU
rnacentral:rRNA from 1 species